UGGAAUUUUAGAACUGUGGGUAUUAUAUGUAAAUAAUUAUGAACGGGUAUUUUAUACUUUUAAGCAAUGGUUCUCUAUUUCUUUCAUUUCUUAAAAGGGGUAAAAUUAAUGAUUAAACUCACUCAUUACCAGGUAAUGUAUUAAAUAACUAUACAUUACCUACAUUACCAAAAUUUUAGAAUUAUUAAAAUAGAAACUGAAAAUAUUCAUAAAGGAUCGUAUAUGGUUACUAAUAUGGAACGAUUUUCGACAUAAAUUAAUGUAUAAUUUUUUGGUAAAUAAAACUUAAAUAGGGCUAGAUAAAAUCGUAGGCCGCUGUUGCUAAUUUUUAAUAACAAACAAGCCUUAUCAGAAGACAAUAUUUUGAAAAAUUUCCAUUUUCCUGAGUCCAGUCCACGGACAUGCGGUCCGUCUAAAGAUCGUCUAAAGUUGUAUUUUCUGACAUAUAGGCGAUAAUACCUAAAAUUUGUGAUGAACUCGCUAUUUGAUGUCCUCUAAAAGACGGACAAGCAGACAUUUCUAGAUCGUCUAACGUCAUAUUUUCAGACUUAUAAGGAAUAUCUUGGAUUAUAAGAAAGCUUUAACUGAAUACUCUCCCAGAGAUAAGGUUUACAUCAUACGGAUGACAGGCCACUCGGGAUUAAUCGGCAACAAAAGGGCUCGAGGCACCUGACUAACGCAAAACCCAUCGACGCAACGAAGGCUGAAUUAAAAAUAAGAGUGGGAGAAAUUUAAGGAAUAAGGAAACGAUAUAACGUUUACAUCAUAUGGGUACCAGGCCAAUCGGCAACGAAAGGACGAAUGUAUUAGCUUUAAAGGGAAGAAAGCUCGAAGCAGUUAACCUGACGAACGCAAAACCAUUCGACGCAACGAAGGCUGAAUUAAAAAUAAGGGUGAGAUAAUCCCAUGGAAUAACGAAACAGUGAGUAGUGCUACAAAGAUCCUAUGGAUUGACCCUAAUGUAUGUUAGUAUGAUGGUACGUAUUCUGAGUGAACACACAGGAUUACGGGAAAAGCUGUACAAAAUUGUACUUGCGGAUUCAGACAAAUGUAGAGCAUGUGGAGAGGACAGUAAAACUCUGAAGCACUUUAUUUGCCACUGUCAGGCAUUCGUCGAAGUUAGAUCCAAAUAUCUUGGAAGUGAUCCUAUUCCGGAUAUAACAUUUCGCGCGAACAGUGAAUGGUUUAUUAUUAGGAUUAUGUCCAGAAAACUGAGCUUCUAAACAUCGAAAGAUAAUUCAUUCAGAUAACACAAUGUUUUUUUUACCAAUAAUCAUUAUCUAAUAAUCUAAUAUAUUUUCCAAAUAAAUUAGGGAAUGAUCUCGUACUAUUUUUAAAGGAAAUUAAGAGUCAAUCAACCUUAUUACUUUCGUAUAUAUUUUCUGUAGCACUGUGUAAUUGUUAGUAGCAAAGUUUAAGUAAGUACAUUAAUAAAACAUUUUACAAAUGUUUUAUUAUCA